UACGUAGGGGGCAAGCGUUGUCCGGAAUCAUUGGGCGUAAAGAGCGUGUAGGCGGCCCGGUAAGUCCGCUGUGAAAGUCCAGGGCUCAACCCUGGGAUGCCGGUGGAUACUGUCGGGCUCGAGUCCGGAAGAGGAGUGUGGAAUUCCUGGUGUAGCGGUGAAAUGCGCAGAUAUCAGGAAGAACACCCGUGGCGAAAGCGGCUCUCGUGGAACGGUACUGACGCUGAGACGCGAAAGCGUGGGAGCGAACAGG
rnacentral:rRNA from 1 species